rnacentral:rRNA from 1 species
AGAGUUUGAUCCUGGCUCAGAACGAACGCUGGCGGCAGGCUUAACACAUGCAAGUCGAACGCCCCGCAAGGGGAGUGGCAGACGGGUGAGUAACGCGUGGGAAUGUGCCCCGAGGUACGGAACAACGCCGGGAAACUGGCGCUAAUACCGUAUGUGACCGAGAGGUGAAAGAUUUAUCGCCUCGGGAUCAGCCCGCGUUGGAUUAGCUAGUUGGUGGGGUAAUGGCCUACCAAGGCGACGAUCCAUAGCUGGUCUGAGAGGACGACCAGCCACACUGGGACUGAGACACGGCCCAGACUCCUACGGGAGGCAGCAGUGGGGAAUCUUGGACAAUGGGCGCAAGCCUGAUCCAGCCAUGCCGCGUGGAUGAUGAAGGCCUUAGGGUUGUAAAAUCCUUUCGUCGGGGACGAUAGUGACGGUACCCGAAGAAGAGUCC